UCUCCCAGUGAGCUGCACGUCUCAAACCUUAGCAUCUGAGAAGGACAGGGUGCUGCUUUUCAGCUAAUAGCCAUGGCUCUUGGACUCCUUCUGCGGAUUUUCUUGACUUGUUUUUUGCUGUUUGACUGCGGUGUUGGAUUACCAGCUAAAAAAGAACGAGGAUAUCGCGUCAAGGCUGCCUUGCUUAACCGAGGCGAUCAUAAACAAGCUGAAGCUUUGAAUUCUGGAAUCGUUGAUCGGCACAACUGGAAGGCUUCAAACAACCAGCUGCUUGUUCCUGAUCACACGAGCUACAACAAGCCUUCAGUUGCACAAUGGGCUGGUUCGGUCCCAUCUCUCCAAAACCUGCCCGACACCCAAAGUUUUGAGGUGGAGAGGCUUGUUAAUGGUCGGCCAAGAGACUGGAGCCUGGACGACCCUGCGAAAGAACUUGUGUUUCCUUUAAGCCCCAACUACCUGCAACGCGCUCCAGUAGAACCUCAGCCAGGCCCUGUCCAUACUCUAUAUCCAUCUGGCAAUGCUGGGCAUUCUUCAAAUGCUGCAGUACCGUAUAGCGACACCAAUUACGUGAGCACCGGAUCUUCACCUUCCUCCAAACAACAGGGCUCAUUCACCAGUAAGCCAACUAAUGUGGCAGCCCAGCCUGUCUAUGCAUCUAGGAGAGGAAGCCCUCCUUCUGGGUUCUAUAGAGAGAAGCCUAACUUUAGACCGAUCCACUACCGGCCACAAAUGCCAGUUGUCAGCACCCAAAGAGGUCGCAAUACCCAGAGAGUGAGUGAACCGAUCCGUCAAAGCUAUAUUGUCCAGUCCAGAAAUGGCUUCCAGCGAGCCAGUUAUGUCCAACGCAACUCCAGGUACUCUCCACAAGUUCCCAUGGGUGUUUAGGGUAACCGGCUGCUGCAAAGAUCACGUCAAGAAUGAUGUGCCCUCUAAAGAAACUUUAAUAAAAACUUUUUGACUUUAAAUGUA